CGCAUUUCUCGCACCCCACCCCAUCCCCUUCCUAUCUCGCAUCGCGCUUUGCCAAUCCCGUCGCAUCGGCGCCGCACGGCCCUCCCUAGGUCUGUUUCGCCUCCCUCCUCCCAGUGCUAGCCGCAUCGCCUUCCUCGCCCCAUCCUAAGAGAAACCUUCGCCGCCCACUAAGAGCAGACUUAUGAUUGCCAUUAACGCGUUAAUUUCAUUCGCCUCUAAUUAAAGCCAUGGCGAUAUCAUUGCGGGCCUUUGCUUAUUACCGACGAAGUUCUCCAGUCCAUACAGAAGCAGAAGCAGAAGUAGGUUCUUGGUUGUUCUCCACGAACUGCUUGGUUUCAUAUGAAUCUUCAUUGCAUAGGUAUUUGAUGGUGUGGUACCUACUCCUUCCUUCUGAAUUUGUUAUGUGCCUCCUGUGGAUUUUCAUUCAGGAAAGAUCAAUCCGUAUGUGCUUCCUUUUCAAUUUGACCUAUCAUCUCUUUGGCAAAUUCAUGAAUAAGUAGCCUUCACUGUACUCGAGGAUUAUUGGGUGCAAUUGGAUUCAAUCUUAACAAGGUAUCAUAUCCGUAUCUUCUAUCUGAAGAUAAGGGAAUUUGUUGAUUUUUCAUGACGGACCUCACAACUGAUUGUAUAAGUUCCAUUGUAUUCCUGUACGUUUAUUCGAGGAUCCAGAGUAUUCAACUCCGUUGUGUUCCUGCCCGUAUCGAGGAUUCCAGAUUUAAUUGGUUAUUCAUCCACAGUUUAUCCUUAUGGUCUUGCAAAUCCAACAUGGAAGAAUUAAACAUCUUACAGGUAUGUUCCAUCUUAGAAUCAAACUGACGAAAGUUUUUCCCUCAGCACUUUCAGUAAAUUUUGUCAUGUUACAGGUUUGCAGUGAAGACACAAGAAGACUGGGGAAAAUACAUUUAACAGCUUGAAAUAAUUGAAAUUUUAUUAUAUUCUUUUCCCUGCUUGAAGUGAUUGUUGCAGUAUUCAUCUUUGUUCGUUCAAAUGCCCUUCAUAGAGAAUGUUCUUCACGUUUCUUAAAAAUGGCCUUCCCCUGCUUGAAAUUUUAUUAUGUUCUUCACGUUUGUUCUGGCAAAAAAAACUGUACUCAAACAAAAUCAUUGUAUAGAACAGAGAAUGGUCAUGAUGUGCAUUUGUUAAAAGCAAAAUCUAACAAGACGCGUACAGUUUCUAAUCUUACAAACCAAUAUUUAAGUAAACAAAUUUAAUUCUUGGGCACUAUAUACAUGGCACGAACUAUUCCAAUCAUGCUUCAACUUUAGGUGGAAGCUAGGCACUUCUUAUACUUUUGAAACUUAAUAUUCCACUAAUGAUCCGCAUGUUGAAGGAAAACUUACACCUAUGAUCGGUCACAAGUGUCAUCUUACUUAUUUUAUUCCAAGAGGAAAAAUACUAUCUUAUACAUAAAAAAUCGCUCAACAUUCUAGACAAAAAACUUAUUAUGUCAUGUAAAAAAUAAAAGAAAAAUAUUGCCUAUGUUUAUGGAUGUGCAUAUACUAUAAUAGUAUAUACAUAUGUUCACUUCAUAUGUCAGUAGUGGCCACACAUGCAGUACAAUCAUCUUGAGCUAAAAAUUACCAUGUGCUCCCGCAACAUCACGCAGGGUAUAUUCUAGUAUUCUUUAAAGAUUGAUGCGUGCUCCUUGUAGCUUCAAAUGGCCUUGCACGGUCCAUCAGACAUAGUCGUCACUCGCCCUUCACCACUGGAUUUGGUCCUUCGGUGCCAAGCUCCUUGCUUGCCUUCACCACCGCAUGGUUCAUCGCGGCGAGCAUCACUUGGCCUUCACCGUCUUGCCACUUCGUACCCCACUUUCCAAUAACUUCACUUUGUUAUUCUUGAUAUCAUUAGGUGUCAUGAUCUCUAUCGAGUAUCAGCACAUUUUCCAAUUCAUGGGACCUAUUUUUCUUGUUCAACUCAAUGUAUUUAUUAGUCCGAAUGAUUCGGUUGUCAACCUUCACUUGUUGACCAACAGAUCACAUGUAUAAAAGAAUAUGAAUAAAUGAUGAGUAUUAAUCAACACCAUAAGUGUCAUAUACUCAAAUGUAUGCUCAAAUGUAAAGAUCCCAAUUAAAUGAAAGUGAAUAAUUUGGAUCAAAUACUUGUAUAACAUAUAGGAUUUGCUCCCCUAAAUGUAUGCAUACGGAAUAUUUAUAUGAAGCAAGACUAUGUAUAGAUAGAUAUGAAACUUUGAGAUCUUAUCUUACAUACAAGAAUAGAAGACGCUUAUCAAAUAUAGACAAUAUAAAAUAAGAAAAAGUACGAAUUACCCCCCCCAACUAUCGUGGCCGACCGAAUUACCCCCCUAAACCCGAAAACUAGACAUCGUUCACCCUGAACUUUCAAUACCAGACAAUUUACCCCCCUCGACCCAAUCCAGAGCAGUUUUGACCUACAUAGCGUACGCGUGAUAGUCCAAUCUACAUUUUAUUGAUAAAAAAUAUGGGGCCCACCUAUCAUACUCCUCUUCCACUCUCCCUUCUCUCUCUAUCUCUCUCUCUCACUAUGAACGAGGCGGCGGCGGCGGCGCGGGAUGGACGGAUAGAGGUGGGGGCAAGCAGUGGGCGGGCGUGGACAGCGGACACGUAGGCGGCAUGCACGGCGCGGUGGAGACCCUCCUGCGCCGGAGGGAGUUCGCCAGAGUUCCCUCCCGCUCCCUCCCGAAGUUCGCCGCUCCCUCCUCUGUGUCCCGCGCCACCACCACCUUCGUGUCCCCCGCCGCCGCCACCACCUGCGCGUCCCGCGUCCCGCGGCGCCACCCAUCAUCUGUCGCCGACCCGUAAGAGAGAGAGGAAGAGUGAUACGACCCAAAUAGGGGUGAUGUCCCGAUCUUCACGGCGUAGGAUCAAGAACCAAUAACUAGCCUCAAAGAGACGAAGAUAACUAGCUGCAAGUAGCCAAGAUAACAGUGCAAUCUGACGAUCGAACUCGAAGCUAACCACCAUCUCUACACGGCAACCUAAAUCGAGGAUUCGCCCAACCACACUAAGUUACCAACCAACACAACCUAGAAUCAAUCGAGGAAAAAUCCUCAAAGGGACUAGGAGCACCAAUUGGGAGGCGUCGAACGCCGCUUCUAUAAUCCCACAAGGAAACCACAAGAACAAAGGGGUAGAGAUCUCUCUCUAAAUUUGUUAGCACGCAGCUAAACAAAAGGGGUUCAUAUUCUCAUUGUCAAAAGUCUUCUAAAUGAUAAAACAUGUGGGACAUUUAUACUAGGAACAACCCUCCUGGAUGGGAAUGAAAGGUCUUAGGAGUUUACUGGACAUAGGCUAACUCAAAUAUCAUACUAAGUGAAUUCCCGAGAGGAAUCGCACAUCUGUUUGGCUUCUGAGCAGUCCUCAAUGAUUUAUCCAUUACUCCUUAUUGGGAAGUCGAAAUGACGAACCGUUCGUUUGUUGGAGGUGAAACUAUAUUAAUCACAGGUAGCCAAGUGACGGUAGUGGUUACUGUUAUGAUUGAUAAAAUUAGCAAAUUUUGGUCAAUACCUACAAUUAAUACUUAUAAGACAUAAUCCAAGUUUAUCCGUUCUGAGGCACAUCACCAACCAAACAGCUCAACCAGGCAUAUUCCAUCAAAAUCUCAGGGAGGCAUGUUGCACACGGCAACAACCAAACAGACCCUCAAAAUAUUUUGGAACAAUGCCUUGUCAGAAGUUUGUGGGUGACUACUGGUUAUUCUGCGGACUAGUAAUCUUACACGUGCAAGGCACGUUUCCCACAUUAUAUUACACUAAUCAUGUAAAAUCACCUAAAGAUUAUUCUAAAUUUUCCACAAUAUAUAUCACACUCAACAUGCAAACAACCAAAGUUCAAGAAUUAUUGUAGUGUAAAUUGCAAUAUCUUAAUAACUCUUCCGUAGACACUUUCUAUAAAAAAAAAUGCAAAGCAGAGAAUGAUACGAAAUGUACAAUGCUGCCAUAGCUUUGAUAUACACUAAACUCAACUCUAUCUACAACAUCUAAUCGUGAAAAAGGCCUCCCCUAUCUCAGUAAUAGAAUGUCAAAUGGCCCCCAAACAAUCUGCAAUAAAAAUAUCAUUUAAAUGAUCACCAAUAAAUACCUCCCGUCGCAUCACCAGUAACGAAAACCACAAGCCUUAGUAUUGUAUACUUGAUUAAGAUAAAUGUUUACUUAUUGAUAUUGAUAUUCAACAGAACCUUGUUGAAUUCUCCAGCUUGGUAUUCUACUUUGUAA